CCAUUGGUAGCUCAACGGCAGAGUGUCAGACUGUAGUUCUGCAAGAUGUUGGUUCGAUUCCAGCCCAAUGAA